ACAAGUUUCAUUUAAUCAUCCUU
rnacentral:miRNA from 1 species